GGGCCUUGAAGGAAGGGGGCCGAGACCGGGCCUUACUUCUGUAACGAUACUGUGAGGCAUCGGAAGGCCAGCCUGUUGUGUCCGUUUUGAAGAAUGAACGGAGACCAGAAAUCAGAUGUUUAUGCCCAAGAAAAGCAGGAUUUUGUUCAGCACUUCUCCCAGAUCGUUAGGAUGCUGACUGAGGAUGAGAUGGGGCACCCAGAGACAGGAGAUGCUAUUGCCCGGCUCAAGGAGGUCCUGGAGUACAAUGCCAUUGGAGGCAAGUAUCACCGGGGUUUGACGGUGGUAGUAGCAUUCCGGGAGCUGGUGCAGCCAAGGAAACAGGAUGCUGAUAGUCUCCAGCGGGCCCGGACUGUGGGCUGGUGUGUGGAACUGCUGCAAGCUUUCUUCCUGGUGGCAGAUGACAUCAUGGAUUCAUCCCUCACCCGCCGGGGACAGAUCUGCUGGUAUCAGAAGCCAGGCGUGGGUUUGGAUGCCAUCAAUGAUGCUAACCUCCUGGAAGCAUGUAUCUACCGCCUGCUGAAGCUCUAUUGCCGGGAGCAGCCCUAUUACCUGAACCUGAUUGAGCUCUUCCUGCAGAGUUCCUAUCAGACUGAGAUUGGGCAGACUCUGGACCUCAUCACAGCCCCCCAGGGCAAUGUGGAUCUUGUCAGAUUCACUGAAAAGAGGUACAAAUCUAUUGUCAAGUACAAGACAGCUUUCUACUCCUUCUACCUUCCUAUAGCUGCAGCCAUGUACAUG
rnacentral:sRNA from 1 species